rnacentral:rRNA from 1 species
UACGUAGGGAGCGAGCGUUGUCCGGAUUCAUUGGGCGUAAAGAGCUCGUAGGCGGUUUGUUGCGUCGGCUGUGAAAUCCCGAGGCUCAACCUCGGGUCUGCAGUCGAUACGAGCAAACUAGAGUGUUGCAGGGGAGACUGGAAUUCCUGGUGUAGCGGUGAAAUGCGCAGAUAUCAGGAAGAACACCGGUGGCGAAGGCGGGUCUCUGGGCAACAACUGACGCUGAGGAGCGAAAGCGUGGGGAGCGAACAGG